rnacentral:tRNA from 1 species
UGGAUCACCUCCUAACAGGGAGACAACAAAAUGUUUUGAUAUAAAUUUUGUCACCUUAGGUCGAUCGGUAUCUCAGAUUUUCAUAAUUGAAAAUUUCAGUUUCUAAGUUUUUUCUAGGUCACCCAUUUUUUCCUGGGCCAUUAGCUCAGGUGGUUAGAGCGCACCCCUGAUAAGGGUGAGGUCCCUGGUUCAAGUCCAGGAUGGCCCAUAUCUCUAUAUUGGGGGUAUAGCUCAGUUGGUAGAGCGCCUGCUUUGCAAGCAGGAUGUCAGCGGUUCGAGUCCGCUUACCUCCACCGAAUACCACCUUUCCAAAGAGAAGGAAUAUUUGGGCCCUAUUUUACUCUGAGUGAAUCUAGCUUCCUAUUAUUUAAUUUAUUAAUUAAUAAGAUGCUGGACUCAAUGAAUUUUUUAUUCUUUGUUUUCAGAGAACCUUGACAACUGCAUAGAUUUUUUUCAAGACAAUAAGCAUCUUUUAAAGAUGCAGAUUUAUUAUUGGUGCUUAUGCAUUAAUAACAAUUCUAUUGAGCUGAUGCUUCAAAUUUUUGAAGUUAUUGGUCAAGCUACAAAGGGCUCACGGAGGAUACCUAGGCACACAGAGGCGAUGAAG